rnacentral:lncRNA from 12 species
CCCCCCCCCCCCCCCCCCCCCCCCCCCCCCCCCCCCCCCCCCCCCCCCCCCCCCCCCCCCCCCCCGGAUCACACACAGGUGUGACAGGGAUCACACACAGGUGUGACAGGGAUCACAUACAGGUGUGACACAGAUCACACACAGGUGUGAUAGGGAUCACACACAGGUGUGACACGGAUCACCUGUCGCACACACCCUGUGCCAGCAGGGAAGGUGCUGGGCUGCUCACUGCAGGGGAACACGCAGGUACGGGAGCUGCUCACACACCUGGACAGGUGAACACGCACACCUGGAAAAGUGUGCAUAUACAGACACACACACCUGAACAGGUGCGCACACCUGAACUGUUCCCACACCUGGACAGGUGUGCUUAUACAGACACACACACCUGGACAGGUGUGCGCACACAGACACACACACCUGGACAGGUGCGCACACACCUGAACUGUUCACACACACCUGGACAGGAGCUGCUCACAGACACAGGCACAGGUGUGCACCACACACACCUGUACGCACUCACACUCACACCUGCCCCACAAACUCAGCCCCGCCCCCCAGGUGCCCCCUUUGCACACGCCCUCCCACCUGUGGCCCCGCCCCCACCUGCACAGGUGUCCCCACCCAUUCCGAGCCCACACCUGAGCUCGGGGGCUGUGCAAGCCCCGCCCCCACCCCCUGCUUCCCCUGACGGACGGACACUCGGACAUUUGGACACUCGGACGGACAGGGAGGACCCCCCGGUCUGGGGUGACCCCGUGUGACCCCGUCACACCUGCGCUGCCGCCAGGACCCUCCCCCACCCCAGUGUCACACGGUGACACCCCCCGGACACCCCAAAUGUCACCUGGACAAUGGAGACCCCCCCGGGCCUCACCUGGCACCCACAGGUGUCCCCCCUGGACACCUGGGUGUCCCCCACAGGUGUCCCCAGGACACUCCGGGAAGGGGCGGCAGCGGUCAGGGGAAGGGGGAGGAGCGGGGGACAGACGGACAAUGGACGGACAGUGGAUGG